GAUGAACGCUGGCGGCGUGCCUAAUACAUGCAAGUCGAGCGAACAGACGAGGAGCUUGCUCCUCUGACGUUAGCGGCGGACGGGUGAGUAACACGUGGAUAACCUACCUAUAAGACUGGGAUAACUUCGGGAAACCGGAGCUAAUACCGGAUAAUAUAUUGAACCGCAUGGUUCAAUAGUGAAAGACGGUUUUGCUGUCACUUAUAGAUGGAUCCGCGCCGCAUUAGCUAGUUGGUAAGGUAACGGCUUACCAAGGCGACGAUGCGUAGCCGACCUGAGAGGGUGAUCGGCCACACUGGAACUGAGACACGGUCCAGACUCCUACGGGAGGCAGCAGUAGGGAAUCUUCCGCAAAGGGCGAUAGCCUGACGGAGCAACGCCGCGUGAGUGAUGAAGGUCUUCGGAUCGUAAAACUCUGUUAUUAGGGAAGAACAAAUGUGUAAGUAACUAUGCACGUCUUGACGGUACCUAAUCAGAAAGCCACGGCUAACUACGUG
rnacentral:rRNA from 1 species